rnacentral:lncRNA from 1 species
UACCUGCAGCCGAAUUCACAAAGCUUCUCGUUUGCAAGUGACCUUUGCCGUUGGCCGGCCGCCUUUGUUAAUAAAGCACGUCCAGUAUCAGUAUUGGCUUGAAUUUUCUCUUACGAACAAUUCUAGUGUAAGAGCUUUUUGCGAAUGUGGGCCCCGAUGCGCUCCGAAUAA